rnacentral:rRNA from 1 species
UACGAAGGGGGCUAGCGUUGUUCGGAAUUACUGGGCGUAAAGCGCGCGUAGGCGGUGAUCUUUGUCAGAGGUGAAAUCCCGAGGCUCAACUUCGGAAUUGCCUUUGAAACGGGAUCGCUUGAGUCCGAGAGAGGAUGGCGGAAUUCCUAGUGUAGAGGUGAAAUUCGUAGAUAUUAGGAAGAACACCGGUGGCGAAGGCGGCCAUCUGGCUCGGUACUGACGCUCAGGCGCGAAAGCGUGGGGAGCAAACAGGG